rnacentral:rRNA from 1 species
AACGAACGCUGGCGGCAGGCCUAACACAUGCAAGUCGAGCGAGGACUUCGGUUCUAGCGGCGGACGGGUGAGUAACGCGUGGGAAUGUUCCCUUCUCUACGGAAUAGCCCUGGGAAACUGGGAGUAAUACCGUAUACGCCCUAUUGGGGAAAGAUUUAUCGGAGAAGGAUCAGCCCGCGUUGGAUUAGGUAGUUGGUGGGGUAAUGGCCUACCAAGCCGACGAUCCAUAGCUGGUUUGAGAGGAUGAUCAGCCACACUGGGACUGAGACACGGCCCAGACUCCUACGGGAGGCAGCAGUGGGAAAUCUUAGACAAUGGGGGCAACCCUGAUCUAGCCAUGCCGCGUGAGUGAUGAAGGCCUUAGGGUUGUAAAGCUCUUUCAGCUGGGAAGAUAAUGACGGUACCAGCAGAAGAAGCCCCGGCUAACUCCGUG